CCUACGGGCGACAGCAGUGGGGAAUAUUGCACAAUGGGGGAAACCCUGAUGCAGCGACGCCGCGUGAGUGAAGAAGUAUUUCGGUAUGUAAAGCUCUAUCAGCAGGGAAGUAAAUGACGGUACCUGAUUCAGAAUCCCCGUCUAACUCCGUGCCAGCAGCCGCGGUAAUACGUAGGGGGCCAGCGUUAUCCGGAUUUACUGGGUGUAAAGGGAGCGUAGAGGGCAGCACAAGUCUGGAGUGAAAGGCCGGGGCUUAACCCUGGAACUGCAUUGGAAACUGUGCAGCUAGAGUGCAGGAGAGGUAAGUGGAAUUCCUAGUGGAGCGGUGAAAUGCGUAGAUAUUAGGAGGAACACCAGUGGCGAAGGCGGCUUACUGAACUGUCACUGACGUUGAGGCUCGAAAGCGUGGGGAGCAAACAGGAUUAGAUACCCCUGUAGUC
rnacentral:rRNA from 1 species